CUGAAAUGAAUGUUCAAGAUGUGGAGACAGGAGA
rnacentral:sRNA from 1 species